CGCAUACGAUCUAAGGAUGAAAGCAGGGGACCGCAAGGCCUUGUGCUCCUGGAGCGGCCGAUAUCUGAUUAGCUAGUUGGUGGGGUAAAGGCCCACCAAGGCAUCGAUCAGUAGCUGGUCUGAGAGGACGACCAGCCACACUGGAACUGAGACACGGUCCAGACUCCUACGGGAGGCAGCAGUGGGGAAUUUUGGACAAUGGGCGCAAGCCUGAUCCAGCAAUGCCGCGUGAGUGAAGAAGGCCUUCGGGUUGUAAAGCUCUUUUGUCAGGGAAGAAACGGUUGGGGCUAAUAUCCCUAGCUAAUGACGGUACCUGAAGAAUAAGCACCGGCUAACUACGUGCCAGCAGCCGCGGUAAUACGUAGGGUGCAAGCGUUAAUCGGAAUUACUGGGCGUAAAGCGUGCGCAGGCGGUUUUGUAAGUUUGUCGUGAAAUCCCCGGGCUCAACCUGGGAAUGGCGAUGAAGACUGCAAGGCUAGAGUUUGGCAGAGGGGGGUAGAAUUCCACGUGUAGCAGUGAAAUGCGUAGAUAUGUGGAGGAACACCGAUGGCGAAGGCAGCCCCCUGUGUCAAAACUGACGCUCAUGCACGAAAGCGUGGGGAGCAAACAGGAUUAGAUACCCUGGUAGUCCACGCCCUAAACGAUGUCUACUAGUUGUCGGGUCUUAAUUGACUUGGUAACGCAGCUAACGCGUGAAGUAGACCGCCUGGGGAGUACGGUCGCAAGAUUAAAACUCAAAGGAAUUGACGGGGACCCGCACAAGCGGUGGAUGAUGUGGAUUAAUUCGAUGCAACGCGAAAAACCUUACCUACCCUUGACAUGGAUGGAAUUCCGGAGAGAUUUGGAAGUGCAAAGGGAACCAUUACACAGGUGCUGCAUGGCUGUCGUCAGCUCGUGUCGUGAGAUGUUGGGUUAAGUCCCGCAACGAGCGCAACCCUUGUCAUUAGUUGCUACGAAAGAGCACUCUAAUGAGACUGCCGGUGACAAGCCGGAGGAAGGUGGGGAUGACGUCAAGUCCUCAUGGCCCUUAUGGGUAGGGCUUCACACGUCAUACAAUGGUACAUACAGAGGGCCGCCAACCCGCGAGGGGGAGCUAAUCCCAGAAAGUGUAUCGUAGUCCGGAUUGUAGUCUGCAACUCGACUGCAUGAAGUUGGAAUCGCUAGUAAUCGCGGAUCAGCAUGUCGCGGUGAAUACGUUCCCGGGUCCUGUACACACCGCCCGUCACACCAUGGGAGCGGGUUUUACCAGAAGUAGGUAGCUUAACCGCAAGGAGGGCGCUUACCACGGUAGGAUUCGUGACUGGGGUGAAGUCGCAACAAGGUAGCCGUA
rnacentral:rRNA from 1 species